rnacentral:rRNA from 1 species
AAUAUUGGACAAUGUGCGCAAGCCUGAUCCAGCCAUGCCGCGUUAGUGGUGAAGGCCCUAUGGUUGUAAAGCUCUUUCCCCGGUGAAGAUAAUGACGGUAGCCGGCGAAGAAGCCCCUGCUAACUUCGUGCCAGCAGCCGCGGUAAUACGAAGGGGGCUAGCGUUGUUCGGAAUUACUGGGCGUAAAGCGCACGUAGGCGGAUCGGUCAGUUAGGGGUGAAAUCCCGGGGCUCAACCCUGGAACUGCCUUUAAUAUUGCUGGUCUGGAGUUCGAGAGAGGUGAGUGGAAUUCCGAGUGUAGAGGUGAAAUUCGUAGAUAUUCGGAGGAACACCAGUGGCGAAGGCGGCUCACUGGCUCGAUACUGACGCUGAGGUGCGAAAGCGUGGGGAGCAAACAG